rnacentral:lncRNA from 7 species
GUUAAAUGGGGGAUUUUCCAAGAGACAAUGCAUGAUUUGGGGCUUGAGGGGGGGAUUUUUGAAGAGAAAACGCGUAAUUUUUGGUUUAAACAGCAAUUUUUGAAGAGAACGUGCGUGAUUUUCAGUUUAAAUCAGGGAUUCUCAAAGAGAAAAUGUGUGAUUUUUGUUUAAAUGGGGUAUUUUGGAAGGGAAAAUGCGUGAUUUUCAGGUUAAAUGGGGGAUUUUCAAAGAGGAAAUGCUUCGUUUCAGGUUAAAUGGGGGGUUUUCGAAGGCAAAAUGCGUGAUUUUCACUUCAAUGGGGGAUUUUCCAAGAGAAAAUGCAUGAUUUUCUUUUUAGAUGGGGGAUUUUCAUAGAGAAAAGGCAUGAUUUUUGUGUUAAGUGGGGGAUAUUUGCAAAAAAAAAGGCAUGAUUUUCGGGUUAAAUAGGGGAUUUUUGAAGAGAAAAUGUGUGAUUUUCAGUUAAAUCGCGGAAUCUCUAAGAGAAAAUGCCUGAUGUUUGCAUUAGAUGUGUGAUUUUCGUAGAGAUAAUGCGUGAUUUUCAGGUUACGUGGGAGAUUUUUGAAGAGAAAAUGCGUGAUUUUCGGGAUAAACCAGGGAUUCUUGAAGAGAAACUGCAUCAUUUUCGUUUACAUGUGAGAUUUUUGUAGAGGAAAUGCGUGAUUUUUGGAUACGUGGGGGAUUCUUGUAGCAAAAAUGUUUGAUGUUGGGGUCAAACGGGGGAUUUUUGAAGAGCAAAAGUGUGAUUUCCGAGUUAAAUGGGGGAUUUUCCUAGAGGAAAUGCGCUGAUUUUGGGGAUAAUGGGGUAUUUUUGAAAAGAGAUAAAGCCAUGAUUUUGGGGUAAAUGCGUAUUUUCCAAGCGAAA